UACGAAGGGGCUAGCGUUGCUCGGAAUUACUGGGCGUAAAGCGCACGUAGGCGGCUCUUUAAGUCGGGGGUGAAAUCCUGGAGCUCAACUCCAGAACUGCCUUCGAUACUGUAGAGCUUGAGUUCGGGAGAGGUGAGUGGAACUGCGAGUGUAGAGGUGAAAUUCGUAGAUAUUCGCAAGAACACCAGUGGCGAAGGCGGCUCACUGGUCCGGAUACUGACGCUGAGGUGACGAAAGCGUGGGGAGCAAACAGGAU
rnacentral:rRNA from 1 species